GUUGGAGUUAGUUGAAAUUCUGAAGAUAAAUGACAUACAAGUGCCAAAUUUACAGUUCCAAAAUGAAGAGUUCUGCAUUCAAAAAAAGGAUGAGAAAGGAUGUUAUUUGAGCUAGACCUUCAAGCACAAGAGGAAUUCCGAUAAGUACGAGGCACUGGAAAAUUAUUAUAGUCAAGGAUAAUGGCAAAAGCAGAGAAUAAAGGCAGGAAGGGGCAUGUAGUGAUCAGAAGCCAAAACAAAAAUCAGUGGGCAGAUACAUUCUUUAGAACAACUCAUUAUUAUCGUCAUUAUAUACACAAGAAAACAGAGUUCAUCAGAUAGGUUCAGCAGAUUGUUCAAGGUCACAUAGCAAAAGAUGGAGACUCUUGGAUUUUAUCCCAGCCAGACCAACUCUAACCACCAUCCUGUGCAGCCUGAGACCAAUUGUUAAAGUUACAUGUAUUGGUAUGACCAUUUCCACCUGACAGCAAAUGCAAGGGAACCAUAAAUACCACACAAAGAAGAAAAAAAAAAUGAAGAGAGAAUGAAUGAAAGAAAAAUGUUUGGCAAUGGGAACCUACAAUUAUGACUCAAAUGCCCCUAACUUCAAUAAAAGGGAAAUGAACUAUGAAAUUAUUGAAGGAAGCAGUAUAUGAAAAUGAAGGCAUAGAUACUCCAUUCAAAUCUCUUAAUAUAUAAAUUUAAAUAUUCACUCCAUUUUAAGUGAAUGAUUCUGUCAAAAGAAUUAAUUU
rnacentral:lncRNA from 1 species